UUGGGAAUCUCCAAUAGGCUGCAGAAAGGGGAGAGGAGAGCCGUAGAUUAGCCCUCGGUCCACUGGGCCAAUCAGGAAGCGUCUGUUGUGGGUGUGACGCGUCUGUCGACGUAUCCUAUAUUACGAUUGGUUUACCAAGCUGCUUGUUAAAUGGAGCGCCUCUAUUUUGAGGAAGUUUUAGGACAUCGUCAAGAUAUUGAAAUGACAACAGCUAUUGUAGAUAGCUAAGGAUGUGAAAGCGGAUCGAUUUAAAACCAAAUGAGAAAGCUGUGGAAUUGUUGACAAAUAAAAAAGGUCUGUUCAAGUUGUGGAGGCCACGGCGUCAGUCUGCCUCUCAUCCCUUCCAACACAUCUCGAUACAGGACGAUGAUGUUGAUGAUGCUGACUAUACUGACCAACCACAGAUCAUAACAACAAGCCAAAGCUUACCACCAUGCUCCAAACAACCAAUCAGAACUCAAACGGGAAUAAAUAGGGAAUAGUGUCAUUUCAGACACAGCCAUACUAGUUUUACAAGAGUUACAGAGCGGUAGUCAGAUUUCAGAUUUACACACUCCUCAUUCUCUGUGGUACAAUACUUACAGUAUGGAGUAUUCAAAUAAAUAUGUACACUAUAAAUAAACAUAUUGUCACGUUCCUGACCUAUUUAUGUUAGUUUGUUAUGUGUGUUAGUUGGUCAGGACGUGAGGUUGGGUGGGCAUUCUAUGUUUUCUGUUUCUGUGUUGGUUUUGGGUUGCCUGGUAUGGCUCUUAAUUAGAGGCAGGUGUUUGGCGUUCCUCUAAUUAAGAGUCAUAUUUAGGUAGGCGUUGUCACAGUGUUCGUUGUGGGUGAUUGUCUUCCGUGUCUGUGUAAUUGUUUGCACCAUACGGGACUGUUACGGUUUGUUCGGUUUGUGUAGUCUAAUUGUCCUAUUCGUGCGUUCUUCUUGUUUUUAUGUAAGUUCGUCGUAUAGGUCUGUCUACACCGUUUUGUUGUUUUGUUAGUUUAUACAAGUUCGUGUCUAUGUUAAACGUUUGUAGCCUGUGUGUGCACAUCGUUUAUUUAGCUUCACGAUCGUUUUCUUGUUUUGUUAAAUAAAUAUGUGUUCAAACUUCGCUGCGCCUUGGUUCCCUCAAUACUCCUCCUCUUCCGAAGAUGAAGAGGAGGAGGACCGCCGUUACACAUAUUGAACCAUAAAUAGAUAAAACUAAAGAAAUAAGACACUAAAGAGAACAGUCAAUUAGUAUAAACAGACUGGGGUUACUUGAAUUUGUCUGUAUACAGAGAAACCAUCUAAUAUGAUAUAACACGUGUUUAUAUAUUUGAACAAAUGCUCUGUUAAUUGUUUUGCAAGACUAUCCUAAAAAGAAGAAUACAUGUUUGUUAGGAGAGCUUCUGUUAAAGGGAUGUAAAUUUGUAUUUUGAAGGGUUUAUUUCAUAAAGAGUACCGCUAUAUUGCAGAAGUAGCAGUAGUAAUUGUUUGAACAGCAGUGAUGAGUUUUGUUAGCUACUUUGUAGACUGCUGAGCCAGGGAGUGGAGUCAGAAACAGGACUGAAGCUAUGUUUCUGCUGUUUGUUGGUCAGUUCAUUUGAUUAUAUUUAGAAGUGUGUGUGUGUGUGUGUGCUGAGAUAAGUUAUAGCUUUGGUACUGUAUGGUUUCCUGUAGUGUUAAAAGGAGACAAACGAGCUGUACUGUUCAAUUCAGGUCCUUUAUCUGAAAAGCAUAGUAACCAUAGUACUACUACUAUAGCAUAGUAACCAUAGUACUAUGAUUAAUAUGCUGUAACUAUGCUGUUAUUAUGGUUAAUGUACAGUAACUCUACUGUUACUAUGUCAACCGCCCGCCUCCAGGUAGCUACUGAACUGGUCCGCAGGGUGUUUCUGCUCAUAUUGUCAUUGACUGACAUAUGAAAGUAAACCUAAAUGUUGUGUCCACAUUGUAUCAUUAUUUUACAAAGCAUCUAUGCUUAAUCAUUACACUGGAUAUAAUGACACGUGUGUGUGUGUGUGUGUGUGUGUGUGUGUGUG